UACGUAGGUGGCAAGCGUUGUCCGGAUUUACUGGGUGUAAAGGGCGUGCAGCCGGAGAGACAAGUCAGAUGUGAAAUCCACAGGCUCAACCUGUGAACUGCAUUUGAAACUGUUUCCCUUGAGUAUCGGAGAGGUCAUCGGAAUUCCUAGUGUAGCGGUGAAAUGCGUAGAUAUUAGGAAGAACACCAGUGGCGAAGGCGGAUGACUGGACGACAACUGACGGUGAGGCGCGAAAGCGUGGGGAGCAAACA
rnacentral:rRNA from 1 species